GCCGCGGCGGGGCAGUGUCAAGAUGUCGGCGGCGGUGCCGGAGCUGAAGCAGAUCAGCCGGGUGGAGGCUAUGCGCCUGGGGCCGGGCUGGAGCCAUUCGUGCCACGCCAUGCUGUACGCCGCCAACCCCGGGCAGCUUUUCGGCCGCAUCCCCAUGCGCUUCUCGGUGCUGAUGCAGAUGCGCUUCGACGGGCUACUGGGUUUUCCCGGGGGCUUCGUGGACCGGCGCUUUUGGUCUCUGGAGGACGGUCUGAACCGGGUGCUGGGCCUGGGCCUAGGCUGCCUGCGCCUCACGGAGGCCGACUACUUGAGCUCUCACCUGACCGAGGGCCCGCACCGCGUCGUGGCGCACCUGUACGCACGGCAGCUGACGCUGGAGCAGCUGCACGCCGUGGAGAUCAGCGCGGUACAUUCGCGCGACCACGGCCUGGAGGUGGGGCCGCCGCCCGGGCCCCGCCCCCCGCCCCAGGGUUUGGCUCUGGCUCCGUGGAAGGCACCGAUGGGUGCUGGGGCUUGUGCGAGUCCCACUUUACACCCAAAAGGACCGAGUUGGUGGCUUUCCCAACUUCCUGAGCAACGCCUUUACCAGCACCGCCAAGUACCAGCUGCUCUUCGCUCUCAAGGUGCUCAACAUGAUGCCCGAAGAGAAACUAGCUGAGGCUUUGGCCGCUGCCACUGAGAAGCAGAAGAAAGCGCUGGAGAAGCUCCUCCCGUCUUCCUCCUGAGCACAGGCUGCAGGCAGCUUCAGGACAUGGUGUGGAAGCAGGCCGAGUGUGCAGAAUGACAACCACAGAGCCACCACAGACGGGAAGGUCACCACUGGCCUUAUGUCCGGAAGGACUCCUCAAUGAAGCUAACAAAGUUUCCAUAGCACCUGAUUGGCCUGGUCGCUCUCAGUGAGGGUCAGGAAGAUGCGGAGGUCCACGUCCUGCUCCUCGAACACCUGCAGAGGGCAGGAGAAGUCAAUAAACAGUUGAGCUGCUGUGCUGGACCCAUCACCCCUAAGAAGCUGGUGAGCCAGAGUGACCCACAAUGAGGAGGACAGAGAUGGCAAAUUUCCUUAAGCACCACUUUAGCUCUGCUUCAUAUGCAUCUUGUCACAAACUUCUGAAAGCAGCUCCCUAAGACUGGUCCUGUUUUUCUCCGCCCCAGGCUCAGGGAGGCUGAGUAAAGUAUGGAAACUAAGGGGAGAGACAGAUCCCUCCCAUGGAAAGGGAUGGAACAGAAACCCUACGACUGGCACUUGGAGCCCUUAGGACUCCUCUCAGCCUAGCUUCCCAGAUCAUUUGAGGGAAAACCAUCACCACACUCUGCUCUCCACAGUGCCCGGCCCAUCCUGAGUACACAGUGCGGGCCUCACGGAGCACAAGAGGUCUACGUGCCUGCUUCACAGAUGGCCUUACCUGAGGUCCUGAAUGGCGGGACCUCUCGGUCUGGGGCAUCGAUCCUGGAGAAGAGGCUGCCCCCGAAGUCCCAGUGCUGGGAGGCCACUGGCUCUCGCUGUUGCUGUAACGAUUCUUGGUCUUCAUAUAACUUUUAGUUUGCUUGCGAACCGAACUUUUACAGGCAUGAUCCGAAUCCUGUGGCAAGAAGUGUGCUUGAAGUUAACACUAUGGGGCUCACAGCUAACGGAGCUGCAUCCACUCUGCCCUCUGUCCCAAAACUGUAGCUGGGAAACCCCCCCACCGGCCACACACAGGCUUCCUUGGUGACUUUCACAGUGGUCGCUGCCCACGGAGGGCAGCCAAGGACACUGUGUGUCUGACACGCACGAAGUCCUUGUCACCAGACUUGCCCUCUCGGAGGAGGCAGCCCCCACAACACCAAGAAAGGGGAGGGAGGUGGGAGAUCAAGAAAGGAGAAGCUUCACCUCGUUGCUCUCCAGAGAGGCCUCACUGCUGACUCCCGGGGCUCUUGUCAGGCCCUCACUGCUGCUGCUGCACCUCCCAACCCCCAGGUUGGUGCCGAAGGCGUGCUCUUCUGACAACAGUCAAGACAAGGGCAGCUGACCACAGGUCUCCCUUGCAGGGCCUCCCCAGAGCCCCACACCCACUGCAUCCAACUCCUGAAACAGCUCACUGUCUCCUCUGAUGCUGGCCCAAGCCCUCCUGCCCUAGCACGUGGACAAGAGCUUGGCCCGUUUUGUUCACUGUUAAAUCCAAGCGUCGAUCUAGAGCAGUGCCUGGCCCAGCGGACACUCUUGUCAACAGCUCCCGAACAAAUGGUACAUGUAAUAGAACGGACAUUUCCCCGAGGGCUUGCCAGUCAAGGAGCCUCCCUGGUUAGGAACGACUCCCGCAGAUCCUGCACCGGGACACACCGGGCCAGAAGCUGCACCUCCCCCGUGUCCGAGCCACAUUCGUGGUCCUCACAACAGCCAGGCCCUGCGGUACCCUUCACCCCCUCGUUCUCCACUGGCUGGACCUGCCACAGUUCCGUGCCCCCGCUGGGUGGGUAGAGGGGUGAUGCACGGGGACUCCCCACAGGGCCCCCCACACACCCCGACUGCUGCCGCUGCUGCUCUCCACAUCCCGCUCAUUGAUCGGGGAGGUGACGUCCCUGUAGCAGAGGCCCCCCCCUUCCAGAGGGUUCUCAUCACUGCUGUUGAAGGUGACGUAGCCCGGCAGAGGCACCUGCUCUGUGGACAGAAUGGGGGACAUAACACCCACGUGAGCACAAAAGGGAUAGAGUUCCUCCUUCCAAAUUCAACCACCCCAGACGAAUCUGGGCAUGAGGGAAGGCCCAGGAUUCAGGCAAGCAGAAAGAAAACUGCUAUCUAGCUGGCCACUACCCCCAUCGGCUCCAACUGCGCGGUCUGCAGGUGAAGAAAGAUUCUGAGGGGCAUGGGGACCAGUCUGUGUCCCACAGCAAGAGCACCUGGAUGGGGACCAGCACCCAGUCCAGUCUGGCGCCCCUUCCAUCACACCAUGUGCCGCUUUGCCGAGUGGACAAAGCAGGAAACGGUUAGCUGUGUUCACAGGUUCCUGAGGCGAAGGAAAACCAGACCACUAAGUGGUCCUCGUAGCUGGGAACAAAAUCUCACACACACCAGCUUUCAUGCUCCCUGUGACUUUUCAACACACACAUCUAGGGGUGCUGCUCCUCGGGUCAGUCAGCCCCAGCUAAACAGAUCUGGCUGAGCAGGGAGGCAAGAGGCCCCAGGCUAAAGAUUAACAGCAGUAACACCAAGUUACAUAACCUCUGAAUGCAUCUGCCUGCAAGAAAAUGUUUUUUCAUCAUUGGCAAACAAUAUACACACAUAUAGAGAAUUUAAAUAUCACAAGGUAUAAGAGGAAAACCAAAAUUAUGAAAUAGCACAACUAAGGGACAACGAGCAUCAUUCUUUGGUGAAUGUUUCUCUGCCUGUGUGGGUGCAUAAAAAGAUUUCUGUAUAAA